UACAGAGGGUGCAAGCGUUGCUCGGAAUCAUUGGGCGUAAAGGGCAAGUAGGUGGUCUCAUUUGUCUAGGGUGAAAUCCUUGAGCUUAACUCAAGAAGUGCCCUAGAAACGGUGGGACUAGAGUUCUGGAGAGGUCGUGGAAUUCCCGGUGUAGAGUGAAAUUCGUAGAUAUCGGGAGGAACACCAGUGGUGAAGGCGGUUGCCUGGGGCUUUGCUGACGCUGAUGCGCGAAAGCGUGGGGAGCGAGUCCGGA
rnacentral:rRNA from 1 species